rnacentral:tRNA from 1 species
GGGCUCGUGGGGUAGGCGGACAUCCUGAGGGGCUUCGGACCCCUCGACCCGGGUUCAACUCCCGGCGAGCCCG